AAGAAGCUCCCAGGUGAAGACUCUCCUGCUGGUCCAGAUUUUUAUUCAAUACUUCUGGUGUUCAACUAAAGAAACUAUUUUAAUUAGCACGUGGAUGAAUGAGACUUCUUGUGAAUCUACCCAGGAGUUGCUUUUUCCUUGCAAUACCAGGUCAUCAGCACAAUUGAUGAACAUGAAUGGAGGCAUCUGACAACUCCUCUGCAGGUGGUGAUUCUUGCAAAUGAGAUGUUACUAAUUUGAACCAAUUGGAGGGACUGUAAUUGAGAUUCUAUUAGUGAUCUGCCCACAAACUGAAUGA
rnacentral:lncRNA from 10 species